AGUGAACGCUGGCGGUAGGCCUAACACAUGCAAGUCGAACGGCAGCACAGUAAGAGCUUGCUCUUACGGGUGGCGAGUGGCGGACGGGUGAGGAAUACAUCGGAAUCUACUUUUUCGUGGGGGAUAACGUAGGGAAACUUACGCUAAUACCUCAUACGACCUACGGGUGAAAGCAGGGGAUCUUCGGACCUUGCGCGAUUGAAUGAGCCGAUGUCGGAUUAGCUAGUUGGCGGGGUAAAGGCCCACCAAGGCGACGAUCCGUAGCUGGUCUGAGAGGAUGAUCAGCCACACUGGAACUGAGACACGGUCCAGACUCCUACGGGAGGCAGCAGUGGGGAAUAUUGGACAAUGGGCGAAAGCCUGAUCCAGCCAUACCGCGUGGGUGAAGAAGGCCUUCGGGUUGUAAAGCCCUUUUGUUGGGAAAGAAAAGCAGCAGGUUAAUCCACCGCUGUUCUGACGGUACCCAAAGAAUAAGCACCGGCUAACUUCGUG
rnacentral:rRNA from 1 species